rnacentral:rRNA from 1 species
UCAGCUUGUGUGUUAGUGGAACGGUCUGGAAAGUCCGACGGUACAGGGUGAUAGUCCCGUACACCAAAAUGCACAGGUUGUGAACUCGAAGAGUAGGGCGGGACACGUGGUAUCCUGUCUGAAUAUGGGGGGACCAUCCUCCAAGGCUAAAUACUCCUGACUGACCGAUAGUGAACCAGUACCGUGAGGGAAAGGCGAAAAGAACCCCGGCGAGGGGAGUGAAAAAGAACCUGAAACCGUGUACGUACAAGCAGUGGGAGCACCUUCGGGUGUGACUGCGUACCUUUUGUAUAAUGGGUCAGCGACUUAUAUUCUGUAGCAAGGUUAACCGUAUAGGGGAGCCGCAGGGAAACCGAGUCUUAACUGGGCGUUAAGUUGCAGGGUAUAGACCCGAAACCCGGUGAUCUAGCCAUGGGCAGGUUGAAGGUUGGGUAACACUAACUGGAGGACCGAACCGA